CUUUGGUCUCUUUCCUGUGCUCUCUGUAAAUGAAAUGUUGUAUUGUGCAUAGUGGUUGGGAAAGGACAAUAUUUUGGUUGGCGGUUGUGAAGCCAAUUUGACUCGAGUCAUAGACUCUCUUCAGACAACUGGUAGGUUGGCAGAUCUCCCCAGAGGAGUGUACUGUUUGGAUAAUAAUCGUCAAGGUGACGUUCCAAGAUUUGCGGCUGGCUCAGACCGGACUUUGUACUUCCUCCAUAAUGAAGCAUGACUAGUAGUUCUGUAAACACUUUAGCAUGCUACUGUAUCAUAAUUAUAAUGAUCCUUAAAAUCACUUCUUGCAUCUUGAAUAGAUUACCAGUUAAUCAAACUAGACUUCAGUAUGUUAUACCACACUAGUUAUUUAUAUACCAAUAAAACAUGUUUUGAAUAAUUAAAAUUUCUAUAUUUCAUUAUAGUUACCGGUAUGCUAAUAAUACAAUACAGGUCGCCCUCCUAUUACUGUAAAGAUCACCACUUUUGGGACCGGGCUUUCCAUGGUUUUAGCAGCUUUAGUCUGUAAGUAGAAUCAUAAAGAUAAAAGACUUUGUUUGUUAAAUUGGGACCAUUGAAAAGUGGUCUUUAAUUGGAGGUGGUCUUUAAUUAGAGGGAGGGGGAAGGGAAGGACUUUCACAGAUGGAGGCUUUAUACCACUUGCAGCCCUACCAUGGUUUGUGACAAUGGCAUCUCUAGACGGCUCGAAAUUGCGCUCUCGGACUUUUAAUUUUCUUUUAACUCGAAUUUUUUAAUUUUGAAAAAUGUAUAGGGUGACCUGGGGGUGGGGCGCCUCACCCCUCGAAUCCGCUGUGAUUGUCUGACAAUUUUCCGUAGACAGCGUUUUAUGCACGGUAAUGUUGGGGUCCAGUAGCCGAGGCAUCCUAACCCCUAGGAGAAAAAUAGUCUACUGUUAGUUAGGCCUAUUUGUUUACAUAUUUUACAUAACGUAUCAUUCCACAGCGCCUUCCACUUACAAAAUGGGAAGACAUAAAUGUAUAUAACGCAUGUUAUACUAUACUAAUCACAAACAGUGGCGUAACGCCUGUGUGCUCUCAUGCGGUGGUCCGCAGGGCUGCAAUCCUUACCUCGAUUUAGCACCCUGACCAGAAAGGACUUUUUGAUACAUACCGGUGGCACUAUAAUGUGUGUCUGAAAUCGACUGUAGGGCAUAUAUCGUAUUACAUAUAGUGGUGGGUUAAAGGGAGGGGCCCUCUCGGCCCGGCACCCCACCAAAUUUGUCAAAACAAUAUAAAAAUGGAGAGAAAAAGAAAAGAAAAUUAUAUUCACAAUUUUAUGUCCGAGUGCCAUUUCCGGUCAUCUUAAUCAUACAUUUUCUUAU